AAUUUAUUAAUUAAAUUUGCAUUAUCUUUUGUUUGUACGUCUCACUUCGAAUUCCCAUCGGCGGAAAAAUUUGAUUUCGAGCAACCAGUUUUAACACACGAUUUCUUGCUCAUUUUUGAUCUUAUUGAUAUAAGAACGACAUAAUCGGAAACCUAAUAGGCUAUUCUUAAUUGCCAUAUAAAAAUUAUAUGGUUUACUUUAGUAUUUUAUAAACAGCA